CUACGGGGUGCUGCAGUGGGGAAUAUUGGACAAUGGGGGAAACCCUGAUCCAGCAAUGCCGCGUGUGUGAAGAAGGCCUGCGGGUUGUAAAGCACUUUCGGUUGGGAGGACUGCUUCUAGCACUAAUAUUGUUGGAAGUUGACGUUACCUUCAGAAGAAGCACCGGCUAACUCCGUGCUAGCAGCCGCGGUAAUACGGAGGGUGCAAGAGUUAAUCGGAAUUACUGGGCGUAAAGCGCGCGUAGGCGGCUAGAUCAGUCGGGUGUGAAAGCCCCGGGCUUAACCUGGGAACUGCAUCCGAUACUGUCUAGCUUGAGUACAGGAGAGGAGAGUGGAAUUCCACAUGUAGCGGUGAAAUGCGUAGAUAUGUGGAGGAACACCAAUGGCGAAGGCAGCUCUCUGGCCUGAUACUGACGCUGAGGUGCGAAAGCGUGGGGAGCAAACAGGAUUAGAUACCCCUGUAGUC
rnacentral:rRNA from 1 species